ensembl:lncRNA
AUGGAGGGUAUAUUGGAAAAUAUUCCUCUUUUAUUUUGUUUCUCCAUUCCUCACCACUCUUAUCUGAAUUUGUGGCAGGCAAGAGCUCUGCAAGUGUCUCCUGUUCACAUCCGUCAAGUGGUAUUUGGACAACACCCGUCCAGGAGAGCAAGAUUGUGUGCGCCCAGCGACUGAAGAGGAAACCAACUAUGUGCUUUGAUAUAUCUGUCAUGCUUCAGCAGGCGCUAACAAGGAUGACUCUGAGACACUACAGACCCUGCAUAAUAUAGGCCUGUAUUCUUCAAACUUAUUUUUUUACAGGUGGUCUUAUCAGUUUUACUUGGCUUUUAGUGAAGUAUUUACAUUUAACUUUUAUCCACUCUUAAAAAUAAUGGUUCCAGUGAACAGCUCUUUAAAGGGGUCCUAUUAUGGUCUUUUACAAAGUGUUGAUUUUAUUUUGNCUCUUUAAAGGGGUCCUAUUAUGGUCUUUUACAAAGUGUUGAUUUUGUUUUGGGGGGUGUACUAGAACAUGCUCUCAUGCUUGGUGAUUCGAAAAAUGCAUUAUUUUUCACAUAAUUUACAUUAUUAAAAUACCUUUCUCCCUAGCCUGGCACAAACGGCUCGAUUAGUUCCGGGUUUGAUGAAGGCCCACCUUCCGAAAAACAAAAUGUGUUGUGAUUUGUUAGCUGCCCCAGUGCAUUGUGAUUGGCGAACAGCUUAGACAUGUUUCAGUACUGCCACACCCCUUGCCAAAGCAGCAAGUUUUGUCUGCUCCAGUAUAGUUAAGGAUGGCGUCAAUAUUGCCAUAUCAGUUUGAGCCGGCGGGAAUUAUUUUAAUGAUAUUCUAAUGCGCCACUUUGUGAAAUCAUAAAAUCAAGGAAAACAACGCUGUAGUCCAAACGAGCCAUUCGUUGUAGUUCUUGAAAAGGAUGUCUCCCUUUGGAGAGGACUUUGAGAUUUGUAACUUUGUAGACUUUUUUAUGCCCAAACAUACACGCUACACACUGACUAAAAUUCAAAAAGUGAAAAAAGCAUAUUAGGACCCCUUUAAAUAUUUUAGUAGUGAAGAACAUUUUAAUAAUCUGAAGAACCUUCUUCAUUAGACUUUUGUGGAAUGGAAAGGUGGAAAGGUUCCAUGAAUGUUAAAGGUUCUUCAUGGAACCAUCAAUGCCAAUAAGAAACCUUGGUAAUACCUUAUUUUAAGGUGUCCUUGUUACACAUGUUAUUUACUAUUAUAAUAACAAUACAUUAUGCAUAAUUACAUGCAAGUAACCCUAAGCCAAACCCUAAUACUAACCCUAGCCAUAUAGUAAGUACAUAGUUAAUUAAUAUUACUCAGUAUAUGUAUAAUUACACUGUAACAAGGAUGCCUUAAAAUAAAGUAUAAAUGAAACCUUUAUUUUUAAGAACCUGUGCAGAUCAUAUGGGAAAUUAUUUAGUUUUUAAAUAUAACUGUUAUAAAUGAAUUGAUUAACAGUCCUUGAUGAUCCUGGUGUCCUUCUGCAAAGCUUAAUUAAUAAUUUGUCCUUUAGCUGUCAAUUUUGUCCUUACAACUGUCUUACAGUGCCCUUAUUUAAGACGGUCCUCCUAAGGUUAAGUGUGCUGUUUCAAGGAUGAAAUGGUGAUAGAUCAACUUUAGUCUCAGCCUCAGAUGGCCCGUCCGCCCACAGUCUGUAUGCUAGCACUCUGAUGCAUAUUGUGUUACAAGAAGUGUCAAGAGUUGAUUUCUGAAGAGUUAAAAAUGUCCACCUGGAAUUAAGUGUUUAAUAGGUUGGUGGCAUCAAAUGUUUUGUUGCAGAUAGAUUCAAGCAAAAUGGCCUGCUCUGCUUUGUUAGUAGCCUAAUUGGCUAAUACUUAUAUAAAUGAGUUUUUCAAUGCUAUUGUGGUUAUCUUAUAUAGUUUUAAAUAGCUACAGUAAUAUUUCAUAUUUUAUUUUAUAUUCUUGUAUUUUAGAUAAAGCGACCCAUAAAUGACAAAUAAAAUCAAAAUCUCUUAUUAGACACUUUUUGUGUAGCUAAUCAGACCUUUCCUGUCUAAGUGGGGAAUAAAAAUCCGUUUGUUGUUUAGUCAGUGGUGAUUACAAGAUAAAAUUAUUUCUGAUAGAGACUCACAAUGAUCAUUUUCUAGCCUGUAAUAAAUUUAUAUGUGCGAAUUACCUUAAUUAUAGUAAUCAUAAAAAUGUUCAUGACUUUCCUUAAGUACUUGUUUUUCCAUGGGUUUUCAAAGACUACAAAUCGCUACUUACAAGAUCUGAUAUAUCCAGACUUCCCAUCGCAGCGGGAGCCCUGCUUAUUGUAAGCCCAUUUCACAAAUAACGGAGAGAAAUUCAGGGCGAGUCUACUGCGUUAGAAGCGCGUCAAGAACAGGCAGGUCCGUAAAAGCGCUGUUCCGCGGUAGGUGGUGCUAAACUCAUUCAAAUUUUGUCGGUACCUCGGUGGGUACACAGGAUGAUUUUAAUCGCGCUGGACAGCGUCCAGCGUCACUCACAGUCUCAGCAAGUCAGCGCGCUGAGCACGAGAGCAACAACCUCAUUCCUGGAUAUUAGGCACUAGGGGCAAGUGAGCGAGCGCAGCGCGCGGACACAAUUCGCCUUUCGUUCGCUGAGAGAGGAGCGCGCGAAUGGUUUUCAAACUGAAAUGAA